rnacentral:rRNA from 1 species
CCUACGGGAGGCAGCAGUGGGGAAUAUUGCACAAUGGGCGCAAGCCUGAUGCAGCGACGCCGCGUGAGGGAUGACGGCCUUCGGGUUGUAAACCUCUUUCGCCAGGGACGAAGCGCAAGUGACGGUACCUGGAGAAGAAGCACCGGCCAACUACGUGCCAGCAGCCGCGGUAAUACGUAGGGUGCGAGCGUUGUCCGGAAUUACUGGGCGUAAAGAGCUCGUAGGUGGUUUGUCGCGUUGUUCGUGAAAACUCACAGCUUAACUGUGGGCGUGCGGGCGAUACGGGCAGACUGGAGUACUGCAGGGGAGACUGGAAUUCCUGGUGUAGCGGUGGAAUGCGCAGAUAUCAGGAGGAACACCGGUGGCGAAGGCGGGUCUCUGGGCAGUAACUGACGCUGAGGAGCGAAAGCGUGGGGAGCGAACAGGAUUAGAUACCCUGGUAGUCCACGCCGUAAACGGUGGGUACUAGGUGUGGGUUUCCUUCCUUGGGAUCCGUGCCGUAGCUAACGCAUUAAGUACCCCGCCUGGGGAGUACGGCCGCAAGGCUAAAACUCAAGGAAAUUGACGGGGGCCCGCACAAGCGGCGGAGCAUGUGGAUUAAUUCGAUGCAACGCGAAGAACCUUAC